ACGAGCCUGUCCCGCAUGUCAUCUCCUAGCUUCAGCCGGUCUCCUCCACGAGCACGAGUCCAGUGCUGCAGCGGAUCCAAAUCCCCAUCGAUUUGAUCGAUCUCUUGCACCUACCGAACUCCCACCUCCAUAUAAAUAUUCUACACCUCCGUCUCGUCCGAUUUUCGCCAAAAUCUCCAUUUCCCGUGCCCUGGAGCUCCCGAUUGGAUCUCGCCGGAGUUCUGCCGUUCAGAAGCUUCCGCCGGUCGUUUCUGUCGCGUCUGAAGGGUAGCACCAGGACGACACCCGCAACCCCGACCCGAAGAUCACCGCCGCCACCAACAACGGACGCCCCGCUUCGACCUGCUUCAACCCAACGUCCCCGACGAUCACCAGGACCACCUCGACCCCCUCUUCGACCGGUACCUCUCCGCCCCCUUCACUGACUCCAAGGGCCACCGGAACGGCCGCCGGCAACAACCUCGAACCGCUCGCGCCGUCAUCUUCCUCAAGUCCGGUGACCACCUUGCCUUUGUUCACCGGAUUUUCAGAUCAUCAGUGAGAUAGAGUAGGGUCGCGAGUCUUCACUCAACAUAUUCUCCAGUGGGCAUUGAUGGACUCAUAGUUUAUUAUGCUACCUUUCCGCUAUUAUUAUUGAAUAAAGUUAGCUAUGUGCUACUCAGUUUGUAAUACUUUAUGAAUUCUGGGUCAUACGUUAUAGUAAAUGAUGCACUUGUUAUUUGAUA